GAGAAGAUCAGUAAUGGCACAUGGGAUCAACAUUAUUGUCAUUCUUGCUGCAAUUUGCCUUGAAAUCAGAGCUCAGGAUACAGUCACUCAGUCCACAGGAGAUGUGAUCGGAUACGAAGGAGGAUCAGUGACUCUCAACUGUGACUUUACAACUAGCAGCACAGCUCCAUUUCUCUUCUGGUACAUCCAACACCCUAACGGCUCUCCCAAGUAUAUUCUGCAGAGGUACACAUCUGGAGCUGGUGAUACUGCGGCUGAAUUCAAGGACAGAUUCAAUGCCAACAUUGAGAAAACCACGGUACCUUUAACAAUUCAGAGGCUGCAACUGACUGACUCCGCUGUGUAUUACUGUGCACUGACGCCCACAAUCGGAUAUGAAGGAGGAUCAGUGACUCUCAGCUGUACCUAUAAAACAACCUCUUCAGUCCCAGAUCUCUUCUGGUACAUCCAGCGUCCUCAUGAGUCUCCCAAAUACAUCUUGAAAUGGGAUACAUAUGAAGCACAUAGCACAGAGCCAGAAUUUAAACUCAGAUUUAAAUCCACUCUCAGGAAAGCUAACAGCAGCGUACCUUUGACAAUAGAGGAUUUGCAGCUGUGUGACUCUGCUGUGUAUUACUGUGCGCUG